rnacentral:rRNA from 1 species
UACGGGGGGGGCAAGCGUUGUUCGGAAUUACUGGGCGUAAAGGGCUCGUAGGUGGCCAACUAAGUCAGACGUGAAAUCCCUCGGCUUAACCGGGGAACUGCGUCUGAUACUGGAUGGCUUGAGUUCGGGAGAGGGAUGCGGAAUUCCAGGUGUAGCGGUGAAAUGCGUAGAUAUCUGGAGGAAUACCGGUGGCGAAGGCGGCAUCCUGGACCGACAUUGACGCUGAGGAGCGAAAGCCAGGGGAGCAAACGGG